UUACUUCAAAUAGAUUAUUUUUUGUUAUUAGUAUCUGUCCCCUAAACAAUUUGACUCUUUCUUUUGUAGCAAUGAACACGAGCAUCCCAAUUGCAGACCAGAUUGCUUCUAGAGAAGUCACUGGAGAGAAAACCAUGGACUGGUGAGCAGCUUUGACCCAAGGCUUUCCCAUGUCACAUCACAAUUUUCUGAGUUUGCCUGGAGUAACAAGACACUGGAUGGUAAAGGAAAUGAAUCCUUCAUAUGUUGUCUGAGCCCAGCAGGGAAACAGAAAUGCUUUCCAAAAAGAGAAAAGAAAGAAAAAUCGUUUUGUGUUUGCAGUCUGCUUGUGUGUUGCUUGGAGAAAAUCAGCACAUCUGAAAAGGCAGCAUCUGGUAAGGAAAGCAUGGAUGCAGCAGGUGAGGCCAAUGUUAACCAAGGUGACAGAAUCUGCUGCUCAACAAGAGAAGUGUUUGGGGCAGAGAACCAGCCAAGUCACUGCUGUUUUCUGUUUUCCUUUUUUAGUCCAGUGGCACCUUGGAAUGGGAUUAUUAUAGGAAGCUUUCAUUACUUUACUGUUGCUGUCUUUUCAACAGCUGCAAGUGUUUCCUGCUGCUGACUGGGCUUCACUGGUUGAGAACUGGUUGCCCAGCAAGAUAAAUAGUAUCAAUGGGAGACAAGAACUGGUUUACAGCUCAUUUCUUAAUUACCUGUGAGGAUUAGCAAAAGAUUUUAUGUUUCAUUAUCUAUUUUGAACUCAGCUGUAGAACACUGCAGCCAAAGAUGACAGAGUAGAACAUUGCACUUGACUUAACUAACUCAGCUGCAGGAAACUUAGGUUCAGCUUGAGCAAGCAGUAGAUUAUAAGUUACACUGAUAUUGGUCUAUGUUCAUUAGUCUAAGUUGAAAGCCAGGGUUUAUUGGCACAACUAUUUUUCUUGCGUCUAAGCAAGUAAUUCCGUACAUCAUUCAGUAAUGCACAGCAGAUCACUGAAAAAACUGAUUACCCAGGUGGUGCUGGAAAGAUGUUUUCUGUUUAAUAUCUUUGAAAUUCUAAGCAAGAAAUCCAUGCUGAGCAAUUUACAGUAAAGGCAGGGGGGAAAAAUAUGUUUUCUUUUAGCUAUCCUUCUUUUUUUCUGAAAUCAUAGAAUCAUAGAAUGAUUUGGGUUGGAAGGGACCUUUAAGAAACCUAGUUCCAACAACCUGCUAUAGACAGGGACACCUCCAUCUAGACCAGGGUGCUCACAGCUACAUCCAGCCUGACCUUGAGUGCUUCCAGGGAGGGGGCAUCCACAGCCUCACUGAGCAACUUGUUCCAGUGCGUCACCACCCUCACAGUAAAGAAUUUCUUCCUAAUAUCUAGUCUAAAUCUACACUCAUCCAAUGUAAGAUGAUUUCCUGUUGUCCUGCUUACCUGUCACAGCUUGACUUUUAUCAAAACUCCUGGCGCUUCAGAAGCCUUCAAUAGAUUUGCCACCAAGGAAACAAACAUACGUGCAUUACAUAACUUGGCAUCACAAUGCAGAAAGCCCAGCUGUCAUGUUUCCUAUGUUCUGUUCAUAUCUCAUGAAUUGUUUCCUAAACUGACCUUAAUAAUGUAUUUUAGCUUAAUCAGCACA
rnacentral:lncRNA from 1 species